rnacentral:ncRNA from 1 species
AGAAAUGCAAGGAAGGGGACAUGGAUGAUUGUCACUCGUUACUAGAGAGGGAAAGAGAUGCUGGGAACUUCCUAACGAAAGAUAAUCAUUUACCACCUCGGAAGCUGUAUUGGGGAACCAUAGUAUCCAAUUACCGUUAGCUGCGUUAAGGCAUAUAAAGCCAAUUUAAGUUUUAUUGGAAAAUUAGGUGGAACCACGGGUUACGCACUCGUCCUUUGU